GGUAGCGUGGCCGAGGGGUCCAAGGCGCUGGAUUUAGGCUCCAGUCUCUUCGGAGGCGAGUGUUUGAAUCCCUCAGCUGCCA
rnacentral:tRNA from 1 species